UACGUAGGCAGCAAGCGUUGUUCGGAGUUACUGGGCGUAAAGGGCUCGUAGGCGGCCAACUAAGUCGGACGUGAAAUCCCCAGGCUCAACCUGGGAACUGCGUCCGAUACUGGAUGGCUUGAAUCCGGGAGAGGGAUGUGGAAUUCCAGGUGUAGCGGUGAAAUGCGUAGAUAUCUGGAGGAACACCGGUGGCGAAGGCGGCAUCCUGGACCAACACUGACACUGAGGAGCGAAAGCCAGGGGAGCAAACGGG
rnacentral:rRNA from 1 species